UACGGAGGAUGCGAGCGUUAUCCGGAUUUAUUGGGUUUAAAGGGUGCGUAGGUGGCUAAUUAAGUCAGUGGUGAAAGUUUGUCGCUCAACGAUAAAAUUGCCAUUGAAACUGGUUAGCUUGAGUAUGUUUGAGGUAGGCGGAAUGCGUAGUGUAGCGGUGAAAUGCAUAGAUAUUACGCAGAACUCCAAUUGCGAAGGCAGCUUACUAAACCAUAACUGACACUGAUGCACGAAAGCGUGGGUAUCAAACAGG
rnacentral:rRNA from 1 species